rnacentral:misc_RNA from 1 species
UUGAACAACUCUCCCACGCUG